CCAGGGGUGCCGGAGCGGUCAAUCGGGCUUGGCUGUAAACCAAGUGGCCCUGUGCCUACGUGGGUUCAAAUCCUACCCCCUGGA
rnacentral:tRNA from 1 species